rnacentral:rRNA from 1 species
GAUGAACGCUGGCGGCGUGCCUAAUACAUGCAAGUCGGGCGAACGGACGAGAAGCUUGCUUUUCUGAUGUUAGCGGCGGACGGGUGAGUAACACGUGGAUAACCUACCUAUAAGACUGGGAUAACUUCGGGAAACCGGAGCUAAUACCGGAUAAUAUUUUGAACCGCAUGGUUCAAAAGUGAAAGGCGGUCUUGCUGUCACUUAUAGAUGGAUCCGCGCUGCAUUAGCUAGUUGGUAAGGUAACGGCUUACCAAGGCAACGAUGCAUAGCCGACCUGAGAGGGUGAUCGGCCACACUGGAACUGAGACACGGUCCAGACUCCUACGGGAGGCAGCAGUAGGGAAUCUUCCGCAAUGGGCGAAAGCCUGACGGAGCAACGCCGCGUGAGUGAUGAAGGUCUUCGGAUCGUAAAACUCUGUUAUUAGGGAAGAACAUAUGUGUAAGUAACUGUGCACAUCUUGACGGUACCUAAUCAGAAAGCCACGGCUAACUACGUG